rnacentral:rRNA from 1 species
UAAGGAAUAUUGGUCAAUGGACGCAAGUCUGAACCAGCCAUGCCGCGUGGAGGAUGAAGGCCCUCUGGGUUGUAAACUUCUUUUAUAUGGGACGAAAAAGGGUCUUUCUAGAUCAACUGACGGUACCAUGUGAAUAAGCACCGGCUAACUCCGUGCCAGCAGCCGCGGUAAUACGGAGGGUGCAAGCGUUAUCCGGAUUCACUGGGUUUAAAGGGUGCGUAGGCGGCUUAUUAAGUCAGUGGUGAAAUCUCUGGGCUUAACCCAGAAAUUGCCAUUGAUACUGUAGGGCUUGAGUACAGUUGCUGUGGGCGGAAUAUGACAUGUAGUGGUGAAAUACAUAGAGAUGUCAUAGAACACCGAUUGCGAAGGCAGCUCACAAAACUGUAACUGACACUGAGGCUCGAAAGUGCGGGGAUCAAACA